AAAAAAAAAAAAGUUAUCUUUGUGUCGUCUUAUUACAAUUCUUUUUUUCUUCUUUUUUUUAAGGCUCAUAAUAUGACGUCACACAGGUCAAGAAAAUAAAAGGAAACAAUCUUUUUAGAAAUAUAAUUCUUGGUAUUAUUGUCAUAUUCAACUAAUUUUUGCAAAGAUUGAUACGUGAUUUUCCGUGAUUUACUCUGGGAAUCAAAGUAUGUAAAAUGUAACCUAACUUACACUGUUUACAUGUUUUGAGAAAAAAAUAGUUGUUUGUCACCUGUCAGGCGUGAGAAGUUAGCCAAAAUAUACUAGUUUCUAAAUACAAAAAAAAGAUCAAUUUUCAAAUAUUUUUAACCUACAAUAACAUUGCGAUAGUUCUCUUCUGAUGCUUUAGGUAAGGGUUUGAAAGUUUUUUUAAUGUUAACCCAAUGAUAUGGCUUAGGACAGCUGAAUCAAUCAGUCCAAGCAAAUAAUUGCUUAACUCUAUCAAGUCCAAACAAUCCGACUAAACUCUAGCAAGUACAAGUAAACAAUUAGACUUUACAAAAUGAGAGCUGAAUAAAACAAUUGAAAUACGACUAUUUACAUGGCAGCAAUAACUCCAAGGAACAGUCUCAAUGUGUCUGGUUGAGUCGAGAGUUUUUACAAUGAGACUUUAUCUUCCGUUCUACAACUGUAUUUCUAUGUGUGUGGUUUGAACUUUGAACAACACACUCUAACAAAGGAAAUAAACUUUUACUUGCAUGCAGAUCUAGAUCCACUUUUGUUUAUUUUGGUCAAUGUUAGACACACGACAAGAGGAUGUAAGAACUAGAAGUAAUGGAGUAGAUGUACAAACAUUUUCAGACAAUCCUUUUCACUAUUU